rnacentral:lncRNA from 1 species
CCUGCCUUGUCUAUUCCAAGAUCCAUCCAUCCAUCCGUCUAAACAUGGAAGCGAAGGCAUUUGGUGGAAUAAUGAUAAUGACACUCUUAUUCCUUCUUCACUCUUUCACCAUUCUCCACUCAGCUGCAGCCCUGGUGGAAGUCAAUGAUUACGACAGCCCUGGACCAAAUCGAGGCCAUGAUCCCCCAACCUCAACUCCAGUUCCAGUUCCAACUCCUGCUCCAACUCCAACUCCAACUCCGACUCCAUCAAAAUCAGGUGACAAUGCUAAGCCAGGAGGACCCAAUACCCGCCAUGGUCACAGCCCUCCAACUGCUUGAGGCCUAUAU